rnacentral:lncRNA from 1 species
GCCACCAAAUUUCUUCUGAUCAACACUCCCACUUAGCAACUUCAUAUAGCCACCUCCACAGUCAAGCUUCUGUUCGUGCUUGACAGAAAAUUGGAAAACUAGCGUGUUAUCCUUGUUGCUGAAUUCAGGGUACUCAGCAGAAAUGGCGUAGAAUCUGUAAUCUUCACUGGUUUGAAUACCUGAAAUGAUAUCACCAUUCAACCAAACACACCUCAUUGUCAAUUUUAGCCAAAAAGUAAACACGAGCAACAGUAAUACAGGACUGUUCAACAUAGUAAUUUAGUUCACCUUUGUCGUUGGCGUUUCCAUUCCAUUGACCAGAGGUGUGAUUCCACUGCCCAGCCAGGUUUUCAUCUUUUUUCCAAUCUGAUUUAACCCAC